AGUUUCUGAUGACACUCUUCGAGGAGGUCUAUUAUUUUUCAUUCUUGCAAUCGGUUCACGUGCUUUAAUUUUAUACCACCCACAUUGUCGUUUCGCGAUAGGACUUCUUAUUUCAAUCUGAGGAAUAACAAAUUCUGUUGAUUUUUUCGUGGGUGAACUUUCUAUAGCUUCCCUUGAUCGUUUUCCUGGUCUUUGAGACAAGGACGAUGCAAAAUUUGACAAGAAAUCAAAGGUAUCUGAAGUGGAGGAUGUUGGAUUGUCUUCAUUUUUAGAGAUUUCACUUGGAACAGUCUUGGAAGAAGCCAUAGCUGCAAUGGAUCAUAGGCGUGCUGGUAUUUCUAUGGAAUUCUGGUGGAGAAGUCAAUGGACCACAAUUGUCAUUGAACAAAGGCGAUCCCGAUUCUUCUGAAGUUAAAGGUGGUGUACCAAGUAUGGAUUUCUGGUCUGCAGAUAUUAGCGAAUGAUGACGCUGAGAUUUCCACCAUUUGCAAGGACCUUUAGAAAAUAUUACGUAUAAAAUCAAUGGAUGAACAAAGUGUUGUUAACGACUCACGACAUAUAGAAUUAUUCAUGUACAUCCAUCAAUGUUCAUACAGGAUUAUUACUCGCAUUUAAACUCAUUCCGCAUUCUUAAAAGAUCAUACACAUGGCACACAUUUUUACUGGAGAUAAAUAAAUCUUCAGGUACUGUGCCAUCAUAAAUCUAUAUGGAUUCUUAGAAUCAUUCUCUCAUUGUCGAGAGACGUUCUAAAUCUUUAAACAUUAGAUAUCUUUCUCUCGAUUAAUAAUUAUUCGCUCUAUAUUUAUUCUACAUUUAUCCAUUUAUAUUAAAAAAAA